rnacentral:rRNA from 1 species
UGAUUUCGAGGUCGGCUCCGAUCAGGCGCUGUACAAGGGGCAGUGUUACCAGGGGAAAUGAAAACGUGCUGCGUCUUCGGAUAUGGUGGGCGCAUUCACGACAGUGUGUCGCAUUUAAAUUUCUGGGAGGAUUGACAGAUUGAGACCUUCGUGGCCCAGUGCGGUAACGCAAACCAGCUCCGAGACGCUGAUGCGAGCCCGGGGAAGAGUUUUCUCUGUAAGGAUUUCGAGUCCCUGGAAUGGGUUCGCCCCGAGAUAGGGAUGUUGGCUCCGUAGAGCAGUGCGGCUCUUGCGCUGUUCGGUGCGCUCGCGUCGGCCCUUGAAAAUCCGAGUGAGGGAGUGUGAUUUCCCUGCCGGACCGUACCCACAUCCGCAGCAGGUCUCCAAGGUGAACAGCCUCUA